rnacentral:rRNA from 1 species
AGACGUCUACAUUAGAUACCCCUGUAGUCCCAGCCGUAAACAAUGUGCGUUAGGUGUGUCGGUAACCACGCGUUACUGAUGCGCCGAAGAGAAAUCGUGAAACGCACCACCUGGGAAGUACGGUCGCAAGGCUGAAACUUAAAGGAAUUGGCGGGGAGCACCACAACAGGUGGAGCCUGCGGUUUAAUUGGAUUCAACGCCGGACAUCUCACCGGAUAAGACAGCUGAAUGAUUGUCAAUCUGAAGGUUUUACAUGACUAGCUG